rnacentral:tRNA from 1 species
GCCGGUGUAGCUCAACGUUAGAGUGGCCGAAUUGUAUUCGGCAGAUGGAGUGUUCAAUUCCUCCCGCCGGCUCCA